rnacentral:rRNA from 1 species
CUACGGGGCGCUGCAGUAGGGAAUAUUGGGCAAUGGACGCAAGUCUGACCCAGCCAUGCCGCGUGCAGGAUUGACGGCCCUAUGGGUUGUAAACUGCUUUUCUGCAGGAAGAACUCUCCCGACGUGUCGGGAGCUGACGGUACUGCAGGAAUAAGCAUCGGCUAACUCCGUGCCAGCAGCCGCGGUAAUACGGAGGAUGCAAGCGUUAUCCGGAUUUAUUGGGUGUAAAGGGUGCGCAGGCGGACCAGUAAGUCAGAGGUGAAAGCCCACAGCUCAACUGUGGAAAUGCCUUUGAUACUGUUGGUCUUGAGUGCAGUUGAGGUAGGCGGAAUGUGUCAUGUAGCGGUGAAAUGCUUAGAUAUGACACAGAACACCAAUCGUGAAGACAGCUUACCAAGCUGCUACUGACGCUCAGGCACGAAAGCGUGGGGAGCGAACAGGAUUAGAUACCCUCGUAGUC